GCAGCAACUCUGUAGCUAAAACUAUCAGAAUUGAUCCCAGAUUAGUGAGUCAGCUCUUGCAUAAAGAAGGUAAUUUAAGAAACUUCAAGCCAAGGACAAAAAUACAUUUGUAUAAAGUUGGAGAUACUUGUUUCCAAAGCAAUUACUGAAGGAAGCAAUAACACAAAAUCCUGAGAGCAGUUCAGUUCUCCUUUCCUACCUCAACAAGUCCAAUACCUGCAGCAGGAGCAUACACAAGGCCACUAACCAGUAAAGGCCAAUAUAGAGUCUCUAGAUAUAAAAAUAACAGAAAAUUUCACUGGUUUUCCACAACAAUCUCCCUCCAGGUAAACUGGUUGCAAGUGGCAGAGGACUCUGGCACUUAGCUAUCAAUUAUGUAUUUUAAAUACAUAAUACAGUAAUUUGUUCUUUUCAAGUCAAUGGGAGGCCCAGAGCAACAGAAGGAUACAGCACUGCUGGGAAGUUCAGGACAUUGCCUGCUGCCUUCCCCGGAAAGCUCCAGGACUUGGAGCCAGCCAGUGGUAACGCCCCCCUGAGCAGCCCACUGAGAUCAGCUUUGACUUCUCUGGGGGAAAUCCCCGAUGCCCAGAAGCAGCCACUGAUUUGGUUACCAGCACUGCACCACACAACUGCUUUUCAGCUAUGCUCAGGGAUUAAGACAAGAUUCCCUGUCAGAAAUACUGCACAGGAAUCUGGGAUUAAGAUGAUGUGCAUUGCAGCCAACGAGCCCGCAAGAGAACGAGCAUGGGGAAAAAAGAGCUUUUUGAGAUGGAAACAUGAGAGCCAGCUGCUGGAGCAGAUUACAUGCUCCAGUAACUUUUUUUCCUGCUAUUUUCCUUCCUUCCGGUCCCUCUGCAUAUGAGUUACACUAAAUGCUGUCCUUGGACAAACUGGGCUCAUUAGGACAAGACCAGUAUGCACAGGCAGAGGGCAAGUAUUAGAUGUCUACCACAAAAGCAAAAAGCUUUAAGGUAUUUCACUCAUAUUUGAGUAUUUCCUUAAUUCAACUGACUUCCAGACAUUUUACUUCCUCACCAACAUGCACACAUGGGAACAUGGCACAGCUGUGUU
rnacentral:lncRNA from 1 species